GGGAAUGCUGCCACUCUUCUCCCUGUCGAAACUGUCGAACGCUUUGCGAAGGACUAAAACAAGGUUCCAACAUCUUUCUCGAGAACACAGAUUCAAGAAAAACAAACACGUUUAGUAGAACACAAUUAUUUGGGAUGUGGUUAUUGGUUUAUUAUUAAUAAUGAAAUAUUAACACAUUGACUGUCAUGGAAGAUGUCUAAAAUAUAAUCAUUAAAAAGAAAUAUUUUAAAUAAUAUUAUAUUAACAAUAUAAGAUAGUCAACGUGUUAAUAUUUUUAGUUGUCCGAUGAAAUCCUUUUAGGAACGAAAAUCUCUUCCGAGAAGAAAUUAGCCGUGUUAAAAGAUCGUCUGCGAUACGAUCCAAAUUUAGAAUCCGAUGUUAAUGCCCUUCCGCACCCUCGCGAUUCUGGCUCGAAGCUUAUUUGGCUCGGUGCAACAUCGUUCACACUGGUUAGAACGUUUAUUUAUCGUUGUCGACUGACCAGCGAUCCUCGCGAUGAAACUUUACCGUAAUUUAUUGGAUAAUUUGUUUAGUAUCUUUGGGAAAAGCUAACAAAAGGUUCCUCCUCGAUUUUUUCAUCUGUUAUUUCGCAACGUCCAAUUGAUUUCAUCGACUCGUCAAGUUUGACGAUUUGUCAUCGAGUCAUUUAUGUAUCUUUACACAAUAUCUUGUAUCAUUAUUAAUGUUAAUUGAGCAUGAGGCGCCGUAGAUGUUUUGCCAAGAUCCAAGAAGAAAACUAACGCUUCAAAGUUUCAUUGUUCAGACGUAUUCGCAGAAAGAUAAAUGUCGUUUACAAAUUAUAAACGUUGUAAGGCUGGGCGUUACGAGCUUCUAUUUUUCGAUCGUCGUAUUGCUUCCCACUGGAGAAUCCUUCCUCUAUUUUUACCGAUCCGAUUCCCGAUGAUCGAAUCGUCACGCGAUACCUCCUCAUCAUACGGCUAAGACGGUUCUGUAGCUAUACAUAGGCAGCUGGCUGCCCUCGAUCGAAUGGAAGCACAAAUAAACUCUGAGAGAACGUGGCUUCUAUGGGCGAAGAUAACUUAUCUGACCUGUUUUAUUUUCUGUUGCUUUAAUUCCUUCUUCCAGACUUCUUGCAUAAUGUACAGCGAAAUAUUUUUCAUUCUUUCAUGUAUAUAACCUCUGUCAUCCCGCCAAAUUUAUUGGAAAUUUUGCAGUAAUUUAAUUUAUUGAGAAGCAAAGAGCCAAGUCAUAUGUCUUCAGACUUUAUAAGAUUGUAAAACUUGAAUAGGAGAAAUACACAAGAUCUGGUCAAUUUAUUCAUUGGAGUUGAGGUAAUUCUUGUGCGCCAGCCUAAACUAACAUGGAUAUACUCUGCGUCACCCUAAUCCCUAUGGAUUACAACAUUCUUUGGUAAAGUACGCAUGAAAGUUUGUCCCAUAUAUUGGAAAUAUUAAAUAAAAUGUAUGGUACGUAUCAAAUCCAGAUGUCUACACUUUUAUAAACAAUUUUAUAAAUGUAAAAUUCGGUUAUAGGAGAUUGAACAAGGUUCACGUGAUCUGACACCGCUAACGAUAGGGUCAAGAAGCGAAAAGGAAAACGACGGAACAGAGAGUGGACUAAAUUUAGUUGCGUCCAGUAAACACGAUACGAUUUCGCCGUCGACGAUCGAAAUACCGGAAAGCCAAGAAUGGCGAGGCGAAGAGCUGUACUAGUAUAUCCUGUUAAAUACAGCGAUCGUUGCAUCUUGGAAGAACCUUUAAUUUUUUUUAAUGAAUCAAACAUUAAGUCAUUGGUUUAACUGGAAGCCAGGGUGGACCUGGACAAUAUUGUUAGUAACAAUCACGGGUCAAUUUUCAAUUACGACUACAUACCAGCAAUUUGUUCAGGGGGAAGUUCGUCGGCCUGUGAACACAAAACUGGAUUGAGCUUUGGUUUCAUCGACAUUCGACAAAACAUUCGAUUAAAAACUGAAUAUCGAUUUUAAAUAAUCUGGGAAUCGACGAGCAAUUACGAAGUACGAAUUAAUUUGAUUGAGAGUCGAAGAAACUUCUUUUGCCAAUAGACGUGCAUUGUUAACCAGUGACUUCAAAGAAUUCGUGCAUUCUUUCUUAAAUUAGAAUACCAUUCUUGUCUUUGUUAUUUAAUUAAGUGCAGAAACUUGCAAGUGCGAUCGAAUUUCAACGACCUGUCCCGAGUUGUGCGACCCUUGGAACUGAUUCAACCCAAAAAAAAAUAGAAAAGUCUGUGAUUAAUCAGACAUCGAGCCUCUUUUCUCGACAUUUCUUUUGCAACGAAAUUAUUCGAUACUGAACAUUACAAUGGAUGCUAUUAAUUAAAUAUAAUGGAAUUGAUGGGGAAAAAAGAGGCUUGAGAAAGUUCGCCAUCUAAAAAACAGUCACGUUUCCAGGACCUCGCAUUCUCUGGAGCGAUCAUAUAGUUAAACUACAACCACUGUUAUUAAGAAGAAAAAAAAUGUGAAAGAAAAUUGCAGGCCAAAAGAGUGGAAGAAAAGAAAAAUAAAUGAUGAAAAAAGAGAACAGUGGAUGCAAGCAUUCCACGAGGAAGGAAUGAAUUAAUAUUUCAUAUAAGUGGAGAAUGUAACACAUGUUCUAUGAACAUUCAAAUUUUUUAUCAGAACUAUUCAUGUGGAUCUUCUACUAAAUUUGAGCAGUGUACAUCUCCAUUAAACACGUUGUCUGACACAAUAAUUAUGAUUAAUAGCACUGUUACACUAUUUUACAGAUGCAUUAUUAAUUACACUGUUGAUCCUUUCACUGUGAUUGACAGAAACUAUUAUAGUAAUCCAGUUCACAAAGAAAACACCACAGUGAAAUAGUUAAAUACUCAAUUUUUAAUAAUUCCCAUAGCAGUCAACGUGUUGCAACAUUAAUUCAUUGCCUUGAAUGUCUCACGCCAAAAGAAGUGGCAGUAGAAGACAUAAAGAACAGAUUGAAAUGACAAAGAUAGUUAAGGCGAGGCACAAUAACGAACCAGAAAAAUAGAGAGACAAAGAAAAAAUACAAUAAAUAAACAGCCUAUUAUACAAGGUAGGAAAACGUGUGUGUUUACCAGGGCGACGACUUACGAUAUCAUCAAUAGAACAUACCAUGGUGGCGCGCUUCUCUUUUCUCUACUUUCUUAUUUUUUCUUUAAUUUAAUAAACGUUACUUAAAGAGCACUAGUUGUACGUGAGUGUGUAUAGUCUGUACAAUAAUCGCGAGAAGAAAUUGGUAAUGGAAACAAUCGUGUAUGGUAUGGUGAAGCUUUGCCGUCCGUCGAACACUGUCAUGAGGAACGGCUAUCGUCGCGGUAAUAUUCGGAUAGGGCGAUAUAGCGGUUGCGUGGUGGGUCCGUACCACACCCCGCAACCUCCAGCCAAUCGCAAGCUCCUCCUUUGCUACGGGCCAAGAGAUAAAUUGCUCUUUUCCUGUUACCUCUGUCAUCGUAUAGAAUGACAAAUAAAAAGCACGGCGGCAUCGUUGCCAGAUUUUAUCCUUUAAAACGCUGUUGCCGUAUCUAUUACAAUUUGGCGGUAAAUGAUAGUUUAAAGGAAUUCAAACUUGGAGUUGCAUUUCAAUUUCAAGUAGUCCAUUUGUGAUUUCAUUAAUUACAGAAAUACUAUUAGAAGUAUGAACACAAUAGUUUCAUCGUUACAUGUAUUAAUACACAUUCUCAGACCUCUUUCACUUAAGUUGUUCUUUUUAACAUGUUUAUUCAUUAGUACUUAUUCAACUUUGUCUAAUGAAUAGAAUAGUGAAUAGA